rnacentral:sRNA from 2 species
CAUUUAGUUAAAAGGGAGUAACUGCCUUGAAAAAGGUGAUAAAGUCAACAUACUGACCUUGGGUCUGGCUUUAUCGUAACUAUUAGUGGUUAAGUGAGACUUUUAGCACAGUGGUAUAUUGUGCUGAGAGUCUUUAUUUAU